rnacentral:misc_RNA from 1 species
GAUGAAGAACGUAGCGAAAUGCGAUACGUAAUGUGAAUUGCAAAUUCAGUGAAUCAUCGAGUCUUUGAACGCACAUUGCGCCCCCUGGUAUUCCGUGGGGCAUGCCUGUCCGAGCGUCAUUGCUGCCCUCAAGCACGGCUUGUGUGUUGGGCCCCGUCCUCCGAUUCCGGGGGACGGGCCCGAAAGGCAGCGGCGGCACCGCGUCCGGUCCUCGAGCGUAUGGGGCUUUGUCACCCGCUCUGUAGGCCCGGCCGGCGCUUGCCGAUCAACCCAAAUUUUUAUCCAGGUUGACCUCGGAUCAGGUAGGGAUACCCGCUGAACUUAAGCAUAUCAAUAAGCGGAGGA